AGCAGCCGCGGUAAUUCCAGCUCCAAUAGCGUAUAUUAAAGUUGUUGCAGUUAAAAAGCUCGUAGUUGAACUUCAGGCCUGUCCAGAUGGUCCGCCUUAAUUGGUGUGUACUGUCCUUGGGUGGGUCCUACCUUCUGGCGAAGCGGCAUGGCCUUAAUUGGUUGUGUUGGGGAACCAGGACUUUUACUGUGAAAAAAUUAGAGUGUUCAAAGCAGGCAAAUAUGCUCGAAUACAUUAGCAUGGAAUAAUGGAAUAGGACGAUGGUUCUAUUUUGUUGGUUCUAGGACCGUUGUAAUGAUUAAUAGGGAUAGUUGGGGGCAUUAGUAUUCAAUUGUCAGAGGUGAAAUUCUUGGAUUUAUUGAAGACUAACUACUGCGAAAGCAUUUGCCAAGGAUGUUUUCAUUAAUCAAGAACGAAAGUUAGGGGAUCGAAGACGAUCAGAUACCGUCG
rnacentral:rRNA from 1 species